rnacentral:rRNA from 1 species
CCUGAUGCAGCGACGCCGCGUGAGGGAUGACGGCCUUCGGGUUGUAAACCUCUUUCAGUAGGGAAGAAGCGUAAGUGACGGUACCUGCAGAAGAAGCGCCGGCUAACUACGUGCCAGCAGCCGCGGUAAUACGUAGGGCGCAAGCGUUAUCCGGAAUUAUUGGGCGUAAAGAGCUCGUAGGCGGUUUGUCGCGUCUGCCGUGAAAGUCCGGGGCUCAACUCCGGAUCUGCGGUGGGUACGGGCAGACUAGAGUGAUGUAGGGGAGACUGGAAUUCCUGGUGUAGCGGUGAAAUGCGCAGAUAUCAGGAGGAACACCGAUGGCGAAGGCAGGUCUCUGGGCAUUAACUGACGCUGAGGAGCGAAAGCAUGGGGAGCGAACAGGAUUAGAUACCCUGGUAGUCCAUGCCGUAAACGUUGGGCACUAGGUGUGGGGGACAUUCCACGUUUUCCGCGCCGUAGCUAACGCAUUAAGUGCCCCGCCUGGGGAGUACGGCCGCAAGGCUAAAACUCAAAGGAAUUGACGGGGGCCCGCACAAGCGGCGGAGCAUGCGGAUUAAUUCGAUGCAACGCGAAGAACCUUACCAAGGCUUGACAUGAACCGGAAACGCCUGGAAACAGGUGCCCCACUUGUGGUC